AUAACAUACCGAAAGGUAUGCUAAUACGAGAUAAUAUACUUUUAUCGCAUGGUAGAAGUAUCAAAGCUCCGGCGGUACAGGAUGGACCCGCGUCUGAUUAGCUAGUUGGUAAGGUAACGGCUUACCAAGGCGACGAUCAGUAGCCGACCUGAGAGGGUGAUCGGCCACAUUGGAACUGAGACACGGUCCAAACUCCUACGGGAGGCAGCAGUGGGGAAUAUUGCACAAUGGGCGAAAGCCUGAUGCAGCAACGCCGCGUGAGCGAUGAAGGCCUUCGGGUCGUAAAGCUCUGUCCUCAAGGAAGAUAAUGACGGUACUUGAGGAGGAAGCCCCGGCUAACUACGUGCCAGCAGCCGCGGUAAUACGUAGGGGGCUAGCGUUAUCCGGAAUUACUGGGCGUAAAGGGUGCGUAGGUGGUUUCUUAAGUCAGAGGUGAAAGGCUACGGCUCAACCGUAGUAAGCCUUUGAAACUGGGAAACUUGAGUGCAGGAGAGGAGAGUGGAAUUCCUAGUGUAGCGGUGAAAUGCGUAGAUAUUAGGAGGAACACCAGUUGCGAAGGCGGCUCUCUGGACUGUAACUGACACUGAGGCACGAAAGCGUGGGGAGCAAACAGGAUUAGAUACCCUGGUAGUCCACGCCGUAAAC
rnacentral:rRNA from 1 species